CAAAUACUUCCUCCGUCCAGAAAUACUUGUCAUCAAAAUGGAUAAAAGGAAAUGUAUCUAGACGUAUUUUAGUUUUAGAUACAUCUCUUUUUAUCCAUUUUGAUGACAAGUAUUUUCGGGCGGAGGGAGUAGAAA
rfam:Triticum aestivum genome assembly, contig: Triticum_aestivum_CS42_TGACv1_scaffold_194273_3AL